ACUGGACGAGUGGCAAGAUGCUGGCAUAGCCGCUCACUCUCAGAGGCGGCUGUGACUGCAUAGGGCCACCCGUCUUGU
rnacentral:pre_miRNA from 1 species